UUGUGUGACGGCCCUGGCCAUGGUGUUUGGGCCUGGUACUGCUUGUGUUUUGUGUUUCAGGGUUUGGCGUCAUCUGGUGGUUGGUGGUGGCAUGCCUGCUGGGCGUUGGGAGACUCGCCCACCUACCUGCUGAUUGCAGAUGGGCUUCACCUGAGUGGAAGGGCACACAAGCCAGGCUGCCAGAGCUGUCUGUCUGUUCCUCGGGACAGACUGGACUUAUUUCCCUUUGCCCUUGCAUUUUUGGUUGUUCUGAAAUGAACUGAAACUUAAGAAGCAAGUUGACUGUGUGGACUUCCAUUUUGAAUGUUAGGGCCUACACGAGCUGGCCGUAACACAUUGUAUGCGUCAUUUGCUUGACAUGCGUGUGGAAAUGUUACAGCACUGCUAAAUGGAUAUGCUGAAAAUCCGUUUAAUCCCAAUAGUACAUUCGGGAAAGUCGUGUUACCAGAACUGAAGUUCCCCAGAGUGAGAUACCUGAAUGUUAUUCUAGUCAUCAGACACAAAUAUGAAGAUCAGAUCAAGGAGUGCACCUCAGAUACAAAUAAAGGCUGUGGAACCUGUCUGGUUAAACUGCAAGGCUUAAAAUGAAAUGAACAAGAAAUCUUCUAAUUGUUGCUUUUUUUGGGAUUAUUACCUCAUCUUUG